AAAAGUUCUCCAAGUUCUGUUACUUGAUCAUCUGCGCCGGUCACAGUCCUACUUUCUCUGUCUUCAAUAAAGUCCCACAGACGAACAGAAUUGAAGAACUGCAAUAGGAGAAAAUGUGAUUUAGCUUGGCACAGUGUGUGACAACCUUCCAGGCAGCUACGUCCAAUAGAAGGCACGUGUAUCCAGUUUUGGCAAGUGAACUGAAAUAACCUCAACAUUUCAGAGCACGAGUUCAAGUAACUUCUGAUCUAUAAUUACAACAGACUCUUUGAUAGCAGUCACAAAGUUCAGCUAAUUAAGAAUGGUGUGCUGUUACGAGAGAUUAAGCGUUACCUGUAGAACGGAUUGCAAUUACAAAACAUUUAAAAAUA